CCUACGGGUGGCAGCAGUGGGGAAUAUUGCGCAAUGGGCGAAAGCCUGACGCAGCGACGCCGCGUGAGGGAUGAAGGUCUUCGGAUCGUAAACCUCUGUCAGCAGGGAAGAACGGUCACUGUGCUAAUCAGCAGUGAAUUGACGGUACCUGCAAAGGAAGCACCGGCUAACGCCGUGCCAGCAGCCGCGGGAAUACGGAGGGUGCGAGCGUUAAUCGGAAUUACUGGGCGUAAAGCGCUCGUAGGCGGUAUGUCAAGUCAAUGGUGAAAUCCCCGCGCUCAACGUGGGAACUGCCUUUGAAACUGGCAAACUGGAGUGUGUGAGAGGUUAGUGGAAUUCCAGGUGUAGGAGUGAAAUGCGUAGAUAUCUGGAGGAACAUCAGUGGCGAAGGCGACUAUCUGGCACAUAACUGACGCUGAGGAGCGAAAGCGUGGGUAGCAAACAGGAUUAGAUACCCCUGUAGUC
rnacentral:rRNA from 1 species